CAAGAUCAGGAUCAAGACAUCAGCUCUACACACGUAUGGCGGCAGUGUAGCGUAACUGUUUCGUAUUUUUGUGAGUUUUUCCCACUUUAUUCUCGCAAGACAUUGGUGCAGGAGAACGGAAGAGGUGCGGGGAGGCCUUACCUUCCUUCUCCCGGCUGUGUUGGCUGUGGUUGGUGCCGCUGUGCUGGUGACGCUGUGACGCUGUGCUGUUGACGCUGUGAUGCCUAAGAAGAAGAACGCUGCCCCUUUAGUCACUGCCUCCCCCAUGACUAGCCUGGAAGCACCAGGGGCGGCAGGAGGGAGCCCAAGAAAAAAGAAGAAGAGGAAGAGUGAGAGCCAAGAGGAAGAAGAUUUGAUGAGAGACCUUCCAAGUGUGGGGAAGUUUUCUUUUAAAUUCAUCAACUUCCAGCUGGCCGGCAGGAGUGAGCCCCAAGAAGAAGAAGAAGAAGAAGAAGAGUGAGAGUCAAGAGGAAGAAGAAGAGUUUGCAAGAGAGGUUCCAAGUGUACAAAAAUGUUCUCCUUUUAAUUCUCCGAGCUCCAGCGCCUCUUCUGGUAACAAGAAGAAGAAGAAGAAGAAGGAGGAAGAGGAGGAAGAGAAGAUUAAUACAACAAUGAAUGGGAGCAUAGAGAUAGGGAAGAAGAAGAAGAAGACGCAGAAGAAAGAAGAAGAGACACCA